rnacentral:tRNA from 1 species
GCCCUGUUAGCUCAGCGGUUAGAGCAUCUGUCUUGUAAACAGAAGGUCCCGACUCGGAACAGCCGAACCCUCCGAGGGAUCUCGUUCGAAUCGCGGACAGGGCU